UGGUGGAGUGAUUUGUCUGGUUAAUUCCGUUAACGAACGAGACCUCGACCUGCUAAAUAGUUUGGCGGAUUCUUCGGGAUACGUACAUAACUUCUUAGAGGGACUAUUGGUGUGUAGCCAAUGGAAGUUCGAGGCAAUAACA
rnacentral:rRNA from 1 species